rnacentral:misc_RNA from 1 species
CAAGCUGAAGCUUUGGUUGAUUCUACUGCUCAAACAUUUGAUGUUCCAAUUCUGACUUGUUCAGAGGCUAUUGAAAGACUAAGAACUAACAGAGAAAAGCACAAAGGGAAGCAGCAAUUCCUGGCAAUGUACUCUAGCAUUUUUGGUGGAAUAACAACAGAUCCAGCAGCUAUGGUGAUACCCAUGGAUGAUCAUAUGGUGCAUAGGGGGCAUGGUGUCUUUGAUACUGCUGCAAUAAUGGAUGGACAUCUAUAUGAAUUGGACCAACACCUUGACCGUAUUCUAAGAUCAGCAUCUAUGGCCAAAAUUAAUCUUCCUUUUGAUCGGGAAAGUAUAAGAAGAAUACUCAUGCAAACAGUGAGUGCUUCCAAGUGUCAGAAAGGAUCACUAAGAUACUGGCUCUCAGUAGGACCUGGUGAUUUCCAACUAUCUCCAUCUGGCUGUCAUCAGCCAGCCCUUUAUGCCAUUGUUAUCCAAGAUCAGUCACCAUUUGAUUCGAAAGGCAUUAAGGUGGUAACUUCAUCAGUCCCUAUAAAACACCCACAGUUUGCCACCAUGAAGAGUGUAAAUUACCUUCCGAAUGUGCUUUCAAAGAUGGAAGCUGAAGAGAAUGGUGCAUUUGCAGCCAUUUGGCUGGAUAAUGAUGGGUUCAUUGCUGAAGGACCUAAUAUGAAGUGUGGCAUUUAUUAACAAAGAUAAAGAACUUCUGAUGCCACACUUUGACAAAAUUCUAAGUGGGUGCACAGCUAAGAGAGUUUUGACUCUAGCUGAGGUGCUGGUCAGGGAGGGUAAACUUCAUGGAGUGAAGAUGGGUAAUGUGACUGUAGAGAAAGGAAAGAAAGCAGAUGAAAUGAUGCUUAUUGGCAGUGGAAUUCUUGUUCGCCCUGUGGUGCAGUGGGAUGACCAGAUCAUUGGCAACGGCAAAGAAGGUCCCAUAACUCUAGCUCUCUUGAAUCUUAUAUUGGAGGACAUGAAGUCUGGCCCUCCAACAAUUCGAAUACCAGUUUCCUAGGAAAAUUUCUGGAUAUUGCAAAGUGGGACUGCAUAC